rnacentral:rRNA from 1 species
AACGAACGCUGGCGGCAGGCCUAACACAUGCAAGUCGAACGAAGUCUUCGGACUUAGUGGCGGACGGGUGAGUAACACGUGGGAACGUGCCUUUAGGUUCGGAAUAACUCAGGGAAACUUGUGCUAAUACCGAAUGUGCCCUUCGGGGGAGAGAUUUAUCGCCUUUAGAGCGGCCCGCGUCUGAUUAGCUAGUUGGUGAGGUAAAGGCUCACCAAGGCGACGAUCAGUAGCUGGUCUGAGAGGAUGAUCAGCCACAUUGGGACUGAGACACGGCCCAAACUCCUACGGGAGGCAGCAGUGGGGAAUCUUGCGCAAUGGGCGAAAGCCUGACGCAGCCAUGCCGCGUGAAUGAUGAAGGUCUUAGGAUUGUAAAAUUCUUUCACCGGGGACGACAAUGACGGUACCCGGAGAAGAAGCCCCGGCUAACUUCGUGCCAGCCGCCGCGGUAAAAC